UACAGGGAUUCAACAGAGUUGGAUUGCUGAGAAUAAAAUUACGGAUUUCUCCAUAAUGGACACACGCACUUUUUGUUUGUGCUGUUUCCUUUAGAAUGGACGAUGAGUCAAAAUUGUUCGUUUAUGCUUCUUCACAGAAGGAUCUUCUGUGUCGUAGGAGGUGGCCUGCAGCAAUCUGGACAUUCAGUGGUCCUCCUGUGAUUAAUAGGUGAACGGAUGAGCUAUUCUGAUAAGAACUGGGGAACUUUUGCCAUUCAAAAGCAAAUAGAAGAACUGGGAGAUUCCUCAACUUAGCUUUUCUUUUUUUUGGUUCUAAAGUGACUGCGAAUGGAGGUAGAAGAGAAGAAAAGCUUUCAAAAACAUCUUCCAUUAAGAAAAAUAUGUAUCUUCAUGAAGACCUAUCUGAGUAAAAUUACUAAAACAUAAUGGCUUUCUUGAAAUAGAAUGGAAUGAAAGGCAUAUUAGGGAGUAUGAAAGUAUGAAGAUUUUAUUAACAUACUUCUAGAAGUUUAUUAAAUAUCUGCACAGGAACUGUAAUUUGAGAUCAGUGGUGGAAAGAGAAUAAAGGAAUCACGUGGACAUCAGCUCUGAGGCCUGUGGCCCCACUUGCUUCUGGGCUUUCUAUAGACAUUUGCUGGUGACCUGCCCAGGCAGGCUAGAGUACCCUUCCUCAUUGCACCCUGUGUUCCCAUCCUCUUUUCCUUCCUUCCUUCCUUCCUUCCUUCCUUCCUUCCUUUCUUCCUCCAUCCCUUAUGAAACCCUCGUUGUGCAGUUACUUAUUAGGUGCUGUGUGAGCGUCUGAAGUCUCCCCUCACCCACUUUUCCAUUUGGGCCACUUGGCCAGUGAUUGCAUCAGUACCAGGGUUCUAGGAGCCAUGCAGGGAUCCCCAGUGGGCAGAGCUGGCCGUAGCAUUUGGAAAGGAAGAGAGAGAACUGGAGACAAUGCCUAGGAACAAAAGCAGAGUCCAGACCCAGGCAUCAAGUGCAAAUCCAAAGGCUCUGGAUGAGUCAGUUCCCAGCAAAGGGACACAAGUAGGCACAGAAGGAAGGACAGCAGAAAACACUGGUCCAGAGAGGGCCUGCAGAGCCAGAAGCGAUGACGCAUCCAAGGUUGUGUUUGACUUCUGCACUGCCUCUGCAACCUGUAAGCACAUCUGAGCCAGUUCAGAAAGUAGGAAAACCAAAGUAUAUCAGAAAUGGCCUCUUAUCAUCAAGGAGAUUUUGGUCUAGAUUGCUUAUUGCUCAGGAGAAAUCACCACUUUUUAAAAAGAUAUGCUGAGAUAGGGUUUAGUUGGGAUAGAAAAGGUUAUUAAACUACGGGACACCCUUCCUUUACAGAGUGUAAGCACUACUACCCCUUUUGUUUGUCUGUUUUUCUUAUUUUUCUCACAGAUGCAGUUCCUGCAUUAGUAUUGAUAAAUGUGUGGCUGCUCCACUUGGAGUGUUUUCAAAGCAUAAAUCACAGCAUUGAUGGUGCUGUGGUUUGGCUCUUCCAGCCCUCUUAACAACGGUCUGAUGGACUUGGCGAGAGUCUAGCCACGUGUUCUGGCCUCUGUCACUCUCAUGGCUGAAACGCAUGCACACCCACAGAUGGGGGCCCCGUGGUAGAGAUGUGCCUCUACUUGUCAAAUAGACUGACUCCAAAUUCGGAAAUAUGCCUCAGGAAUCUAGAAAGAUAGAAAAGGAGUCUUCGUCACUGUAGGGUCUCAUUCACAAUAUGGAGGAGAGAUGGAGGGGAGUUUUUGGUAUAAAUUUUGCCUCAUAAAAAUUCUCCACGUUGUUUUGUACUGUAUGAGGGUAGCGAGAAAUUAGUUGAUGGUUAACAAUCAAGCUGGAGAAGAAUAUCCUCAAUUUUUCACAUGGAAAAUGAAAAACUACAACUCCUUCCAAAUAUAUGUAUGUUUCUUUUCUGAAGAUAGACGUGUGUGUGUUUGUGUGUAUCAUAUAACAUUUAUUUUUUGAUUUCUUUGUUAUCAACAGUAAAAAUACAGAAAAUGAUGCCAAAGAGAA
rnacentral:lncRNA from 1 species